UGCUAACCAAGUAAAUGUGAUUUCAAGUGUUAAAUAUUGGAAAACAAUUUAUAGAUUGUAUUUGGAUUUAUAGGUUUCUGCAUAGAGUUUCGAUUUACUAAGUAAAAGUUUGGGUAUAGUAAACCAUAUUAUAUACAUUCUAUUUGGGUUUAUACUUCCUUGAUUAGGGUUUAGCUUAAUCUAUUUAUUUAGGUUUAGGGUUUAGGGUAUAUUUGGAUUAGGGUUUAGUGACUAGAAUGUAAGGUCUAGUAUUUAGAAGGUGAGGGGGUAUGGUUGGGGUGAGCAUUAACUUCUUUCAUGCAAUCACAGAUAUUUUAUAGUUUCACCAAUAUGUACUAUGUUAUUUAUUUUGUUCCAUUCUAUUUGGGUUUGUGUUUAUAUUUGGGUUUAGGGUUUAUAUUUGAGUUAGAGUUUAGUGAUUAGAGUUUAGGAUUUAGAUUUACUAAGUAAAUGUUUGGGUAUAGUAAACCAUAUUAUAUAUAUUCUAUUUGGGUUUAUAUUUUUUUGAUUAGGGUUUAACUUAAUCUAUUUAUUUCAAGUAAAUGUGCUUUCAAGUGUUUAAUAUUAGAAAACAAUUUAUAGAUUGUAUUUGGGUUUAUAGGUUCAUGCCUAGGGUUUAGAUUUACUAAGUAAAGGUUUGGGUAUAGUAAACCAUAUUAUAUACAUUCUAUUUGAGUUUAUAUUUGGGUAUAUAGUAAACCAUAUUAUAAACAUACUAUACUAUAUCCACCAUAUAGUAUAGUGGUAUGAACCUGGGUACACUUGAUAUUUGAAAACGUGAGAAAUUGUCUAUAUCUUGAAUGUAGAUUGACAUAUCCACAUUAGAUUAGAGAUAUUCAAUUCCUUAAAGAAUAGUACGCAAGACAUUGUAACUUUACCAUAUUACAUCAUCUACACAUUUG
rnacentral:lncRNA from 1 species